GUGCUCAUUUUGGCAGCACAUAUACUAAAAUUGGAAUGAUGCGGACAAGAUUAGCAUGGCCCUUGCACUAGGAUGACACACAAAUUCGUGAAAAAUUCCAUAUUUUU